UGGGGAAUUUUGGACAAUGGGCGCAAGCCUGAUCCAGCCAUGCCGCGUGUCUGAAGAAGGCCUUCGGGUUGUAAAGGACUUUUGUCAGGGAAGAAAAGGAUAGGGUUAAUACCCCUGUCUGAUGACGGUACCUGAAGAAUAAGCACCGGCUAACUACGUGCCAGCAGCCGCGGUAAUACGUAGGGUGCAAGCGUUAAUCGGAAUUACUGGGCGUAAAGCGGGCGCAGACGGUUACUUAAGCAGGAUGUGAAAUCCCCGGGCUCAACCUGGGAACUGCGUUCUGAACUGGGUGACUAGAGUGUGUCAGAGGGAGGUAGAAUUCCACGUGUAGCAGUGAAAUGCGUAGAGAUGUGGAGGAAUACCGAUGGCGAAGGCAGCCUCCUGGGAUAACACUGACGUUCAUGCCCGAAAGCGUGGGUAGCAAACAGGAUUAGAUACCCUGGUAGUCCACGCCCUAAACGAUGUCGAUUAGCUGUUGGGCAGCUUGACUGCUUAGUAGCGAAGCUAACGCGUGAAAUCGACCGCCUGGGGAGUACGGUCGCAAGAUUA
rnacentral:rRNA from 1 species